rnacentral:rRNA from 4 species
AGACCCGAAACCCGGUGAUCUAGCCAUGGGCAGGUUGAAGGUUGGGUAACACUAACUGGAGGACCGAACCGACUAAUGUUGAAAAAUUAGCGGAUGACCUGUGGCUGGGGGUGAAAGGCCAAUCAAACCGGGAGAUAGCUGGUUCUCCCCGAAAGCUAUUUAGGUAGCGCCUCGUGAAUUCAUCUCCGGGGGUAGAGCACUGUUUCGGCUAGGGGGCCAUCCCGGCUUACCAACCCGAUGCAAACUGCGAAUACCGGAGAAUGUUAUCACGGGAGACACACGGCGGGUGCUAACGUCCGUCGUGAAGAGGGAAACAACCCAGACCGCCAGCUAAGGUCCCAAAGUCAUGGUUAAGUGGGAAACGAUGUGGGAAGGCCCAGACAGCCAGGAUGUUGGCUUAGAAGCAGCCAUCAUUUAAAGAAAGCGUAAUAGCUCACUGGUCGAGUCGGCCUGCGCGGAAGAUGUAACGGGGCUAAACCAUGCACCGAAGCUGCGGCAGCGAACGUAUCACCCAAGACAACUUUACGGAGUUGACGAUUGACGGAGCGAAGCGACGUCAAAGCGUUCAUUAAAGUCGAGUUGGCUUAGGGAUACGUUCGUUGGGUAGGGGAGCGUUCUGUAAGCCUGUGAAGGUGUGUCGUGAGGCAUGCUGGAGGUAUCAGAAGUGCGAAUGCUGACAUAAGUAACGAUAAAGCGGGUGAAAAGCCCGCUCGCCGGAAGACCAAGGGUUCCUGUCCAACGUUAAUCGGGGCAGGGUGAGUCGACCCCUAAGGCGAGGCCGAAAGGCGUAGUCGAUGGGAAACGGGUUAAUAUUCCCGUACUUGGUGUUACUGCGAAGGGGGGACGGAGAAGGCUAUGUUGGCCGGGCGACGGUUGUCCCGGUUUAAGCGUGUAGGUGUGUGUUCCAGGUAAAUCCGGUUCACUUUAACACUGAGGCGUGACGACGAGGCA